rnacentral:rRNA from 1 species
AACGUAGGAGACAACCGUUAUCCGGAGUUACUGGGCGUAAAGGGCGUGUAGGUGGUGCUGUAAGUCUGGCGUGAAAUUUUUCGGCUUAACCGGGAAAGGUCGUCGGAUACUGCAGGACUAGAGGACGGUAGAGGCGUGUGGAAUUCCGGGUGUAGUGGUGAAAUGCGUAGAGAUCCGGAGGAACACCAGUGGCGAAGGCGACACGCUGGGCCGUACCUGACACUGAGGCGCGAUAGCAUGGGGAGCAAACAGG